GACGAACGCUGGCGGCGUGCCUAAUACAUGCAAGUCGAACGAUGAGACGCGAUGCUUACUUCUCUUUUGAGAGCAGCGGACGGGUGAGUAACACGUGGAUAACCUGCCUAUAAGAGGGGGAUAACUUUGGGAAACGGGUGCUAAUACCGCAUAAUGCUUUGGACCGCAUGGUUCAAAGACGAAAGACGGCCUUUGUUUUCAUUCUAGCUGGGCCCCCGCUGGUUUAGCUAGUUGGUGAGGUAAAGGCUUAUCAAAGCCGUGAUGCGUAGCCGACCUGCGAGGGUGAUCGGCCACACUGGGACUGAGACACGGCCCAGACUCCUACGGGAGGCAGCAGUAGGGAAUCUUCCACAAUGGGCGAAAGCCUGAUGGAGCAACGCCGCGUGAAUGAAGAAGGUCUUCGGAUCGUAAAGUUCUGUUAUUAGAGAAGAACAAGUCUAGAAAUAACUGUCCUGACUUUGACGGUACCUAACCAGAAAGUCACGGCUAACUACGUG
rnacentral:rRNA from 1 species